AUCACGACCCUAAGUGGAUUUUGGAUCGUGACAGAAGAACCCUAACUCCACCAACCCUAUAGAGACCUAAGAACUCCCAAGCGCCCACUACCCCUCAAAACCCUAGAGAGCCAUCAGCCAGGGACCCAUAGGAAAAACCCUUCAUCAUCACCAAGACAAGAGCAACUCCUCAUCGCCUACUUCAUCUCCAAGAUCCGUCAUCGCCCCCAACCUCCAUUAAUGAACCGGCCUGCUUCCAUCAACAAGAACACCAGCAGCCGUCGCCUCUCACUCUUCACCACUCACUUGAGACCACUUAUUUUUCAAUCUCAACAAUUUACUUUCUUGGCACAUUUGCAGAAGCUUUGUUCACAAAUAUACAUCCUAUUUACUACCAUGAAAGACCAGUGGCAAUAUCGUUAAAACUUCCAGUAAAACCAGCCAGAAACAACUUAUUUUCCAGUUUUCAUCACUACCGAGUUCCCAUUUAUCCAGCAAGGUUAUUGUCGUGGUCAAGUUUUCUGUUCCUAUAUCAGAUCUAAGCAAAAUGGAGUUCCAGUUAGUGCGGCUUUCUGUUCGAGUCUCGUCCACCAGAUCUGAAGAGAGGAGUCGAUAGUCAGUCGAGGUUCUACUCGUGGUUGCUAUUGCGGUUCGAGGUUAUUGUUGUUUUCCAAUCCGAACAAUCGAUAAUUAUAGCAAGAGGUUCUUUAUUAAACGAAGGUUGCUGUGUCAGAUGUGGAUCCAUGUACCAGAGCUCGAGCAUGACAGAUACCCCGGGACCAUCACAUUCAGGAGCUUGUUUUUUUACUUUCUUGUCUUGUCUAGUAGUUUUGAGUCUUUUAGGUGGUGUAAGAGUUUGUCGAGUCUUUUGUCAUUGUACUUCCCAUUUGUAUUUUAAAAAAAAAAUUGGUUAUAAAUGAAAAAUCCAAAAAGCUUUUUGUUUUUA